AGAGUUUGAUCCUGGCUCAGGAUGAACGCUGGCGGCGUGCCUAACACAUGCAAGUUGAGCGAUUUACUUCGGUAAAGAGCGGCGGACGGGUGAGUAACGCGUGGGUAACCUGCCCUGUACACACGGAUAACAUACCGAAAGGUAUGCUAAUACGAGAUAAUAUGCUUUUAUCGCAUGGUAGAAGUAUCAAAGCUUUUGCGGUACAGGAUGGACCCGCGUCUGAUUAGCUAGUUGGUAAGGUAACGGCUUACCAAGGCGACGAUCAGUAGCCGACCUGAGAGGGUGAUCAGCCACAUUGGAACUGAGACACGGUCCAAACUCCUACGGGAGGCAGCAGUGGGGAAUAUUGCACAAUGGGCGAAAGCCUGAUGCAGCAACGCCGCGUGAGCGAUGAAGGCCUUCGGGUCGUAAAGCUCUGUCCUCAAGGAAGAUAAUGACGGUACUUGAGGAGGAAGCCCCGG
rnacentral:rRNA from 1 species